rnacentral:lncRNA from 1 species
AAUAGAUCCAAUGGCUAAAAACAUGAUAGCAAUAUGGGAAUGAUACUUGUAAAAAAAUCCUAGAUCAAUCAUAUAUAUAUAUAUAUAUAUAUGGAGUUGAGCUAGAAUACUAUCGGUAAUAAACGAGCGUUUUACUAUCGAUUUGUUUUCGAUGAUAGGGCUUCCAAAUUGACGAUCGGCUCCGUUAAAUAUGAUCUAACCAUUUAAACUACCUAAAAAUCAAAUUUCACGCAUUUUUGAUAUUGUUCUUUCAUCCAUCAAGUGAACAGAAAAAUGAAUGGCUGAAAAUGAAUACUUUUUAAAAAAUGAUGAUAGAAGUUUGUACUCA